rnacentral:lncRNA from 1 species
UUUUUCUCUGAGUCAUCUUUAAGGAGCCUGCGCCUGCUGACACACAGACCACUAGCCAGCCGGUCUGCACAACGGCCUGCAGACUUUCUGCUCACUCCAUUAGACCCUAGACAGAGAGCAGGAGCCUACACUCAGCCCUCAGGAGCUGAAUGGAGGCAACGGCAGGGACUAGUCUAAUUGACGGUACUGGCAUAAUGACAACUUCGGCCAUACUGUGGAACAAUUUAUUAUGCAUUAUAAGAGCACCACAGAGUAUACAGUAUGACAUACUUGUGCACGCCAUUUUAAUUUUAAGACAACCUGUGAGUUAUGGCUGCAGUGUGACUACUGUUAAAAGUCUCUGCCUUGACUUCCACGGAAUGAUGUGCUACAGCCUGGAAUUAUUGGUUUCCAUGGACACCGAGACCUGAUGCCUCCUUGUCGCAGCUGAGGAGGUCCUUCCUGUCUGGCUCACAUUCUCCACCACACACAGCUGACUUCUUCCUGCUGCUACAACCUCGAUGAACACAACUUCACCCUAAUACUUACUUGUUUUACGCAUCAUGAAAUAAGUGCUUUCCAUAAAGUCCCCACAAUAUCAUUUACAGUUGUAAAAAUAUUGUAUUUUUGUGAGACAUGACUCAUUGAGGCUUAGAUUGAGAAUAAUUAAAAUCUGUACAUUGAGGGCGUGAACUGUGGUAUCAGUUUGCAUUUUGCAUUAGUGGAAGAUAGGUGGGAAAAUUAACACUGAAAUGAAAAGAAAUUCAUGGAGUAUGAAGAAGGCAUGAUUGGCUAUUUUAGUUAGCUCUCAUGCCACUGUGACAACAUGUCCAACAGGAACCAUUCAGGAAGAAAAGGUUCAGCUUGUCUCACGGUGGCAGAGGGCUGUCUGGCCCUGUGUGCUCAGGCAGAGCAUUGUGGCAGUGGGGCCUGUGGAAGAGCUGUCCACUUCUGACAGGGCGGCAGAGAGAGGAGAUGCAGGCAUGGCCAGGGCAUAGCACAGCCCAAGACACCCCGUAAGUAUUUAAGCUCGACACUCUUACUUUCUCCUCACUAAGGAAUCUGGGGUGAGUUUUGAAGCCAAUUAAAACAUUAACAAUUUACUAGUCAUAAGAACUCUAUGCUUUAAGACCUUGUGACUAACUUCAAAGUGGUCAUUUUCAACCUGUCGCUGUCUUGGCUCUUGGUUCUUGCUUUGCUUGCUGACUUUCUAAACCAUCUUUCAAAAGAUUUGAGUGCUUGAAAAUGUCUUAAUUAUUGAAGGGAGAAUGGAUUUCACUGGUAACAUCAUUUGCUUCAGAUGCCAUCAGAUCAUUCAAGCAAAGGAAAAUAUUAAA